AGAGUUUGAUCCUGGCUCAGGACGAACGCUGGCGGCGUGCCUAAUACAUGCAAGUCGAACGAGAGCGACCGGUGCUUGCACUGGUCAAUCUAGUGGCGAACGGGUGAGUAACACGUGGGUAACCUGCCCAUCAGAGGGGGAUAACAUCCGGAAACGGAUGCUAAAACCGCAUAGGUCUUCGAACCGCAUGGUUUGAAGAGGAAAAGAGGCGCAAGCUUCUGCUGAUGGAUGGACCCGCGGUGCAUUAGCUAGUUGGUGAGGUAACGGCUCACCAAGGCCGUGAUGCAUAGCCGACCUGAGAGGGUGAUCGGCCACAUUGGGACUGAGACACGGCCCAAACUCCUACGGGAGGCAGCAGUAGGGAAUCUUCCGCAAUGGACGCAAGUCUGACGGAGCAACGCCGCGUGAGUGAAGAAGGUUUUCGGAUCGUAAAACUCUGUUGUUAGAGAAGAACAAGUGCUAGAGUAACUGUUAGCGCCUUGACGGUAUCUAACCAGAAAGCCACGGCUAACUACGUGCCAGCAGCCGCGGUAAUACGUAGGUGGCAAGCGUUGUCCGGAAUUAUUGGGCGUAAAGCGCGCGCAGGUGGUUUAAUAAGUCUGAUGUGAAAGCCCACGGCUCAACCGUGGAGGGUCAUUGGAAACUGUUAAACUUGAGUGCAGGAGAGAAAAGUGGAAUUCCUAGUGUAGCGGUGAAAUGCGUAGAGAUUAGGAGGAACACCAGUGGCGAAGGCGGCUUUUUGGCCUGUAACUGACACUGAGGCGCGAAAGCGUGGGGAGCAAACAGGAUUAGAUACCCUGGUAGUCCACGCCGUAAAC
rnacentral:rRNA from 1 species